UACGAAGGGUGCAAGCGUUAAUCGGAAUUAUUGGGCGUAAAGGGCGUGCAGGCGGUCUUGCAAGUCCGAUGUGAAAGCCCCGGGCUCAACCCGGGAAGUGCAUCGGAAACCGCGAGACUUGAGUACGGGAGAGGGCAGUGGAAUUCCUGGAGUAGGGGUGAAAUCCGUAGAUAUCAGGAAGAACACCGGUGGCGAAGGCGGCUGCCUGGACCGAUACUGACGCUGAGACGCGAAAGCGUGGGGAGCAAACAGG
rnacentral:rRNA from 1 species